ACUAUAUUACAUUAUUUAUUGGUUCUUACAAGAAAGCCUAUUUAUAUUUGGGAUUUACAGUCACAAGAGGAAAGGUGUUCCAAACAAAAUAUGAGUAACCAUCUGAGCAUGUUUGUCUGAAUCAAAUCUCCAAAAAUUUAUAUGUUAUCCUGCCAGUACUAAUAUAUAGCCAGUGGAUCCCUCUGAAGCUUGAUGGAUUCAUCCUUGGUUCAAACAUACAGCAGUUGUGGUAGGAUCAACAUAGCCAAAAUGUUGGAUCUCUUUAGCUAAAGCCUGGCAUCCCCCUCCUCCCACCCAUAUCUGCAAGUGCUCUGUCCCACAUUUAGUACAUGCAUCAUUUCCAGACUUCCUCCGAAUCUGAGCUACUAUUAUUGCCAACAAAACAACUCCUUACUUGAUGUGUCUUGUUCCAACGGUGACCUUCAAUAUGCAAACGAAGGAUGAAAAAUGAUGCUGUGAGGAACUUUCUGUUCAAAACAUGCAGUGAGAGCAAAAAGAUAUCUGACUGAGCCAUAGCUUAACAUAUUGAGUAAGAUUCAGUUCUAGGGAUUGUAUACAAUAUUGUAUUGGAUUUUUUAAAAAAGAUGUACUGAAAUAUUUUAGCAUCAGAGGGUAAUCUAAAAAAAAGUCUCAUUUCUGUCAAUGAAUUACAUGCUUUCUAAUGGUAGUAAUGGUAUACAAAAAGAAAAAAAAUCA